rnacentral:lncRNA from 1 species
CUGUGAGCUUAGUGGGUAGACACCGUGAAAUCUAUUUUGGCAACUCUGCUGCCAUCUGGAAUCUCUCCCAGUUCUUAACUGUUCUUGGUGUAGACCAAGCUGCUGGACUAAGCCGCCUCAGCCUGGUAAGGUGUGUUUCUGCUGAAGACUGGAGUUUCUCAGGAAUGCUUCAGAUGCCCUUCUUUGUGGAAGGAGCUCCUUGCUGUGGGACAGUCCUUGCCCUCCAGCCUGGGGAGAACCUUUACCCUGGAACAACCUGGACUCCAGUUCUGACAUUAUCAGCAGCCUCCUUGAGCACCUGUCUCCACGAGUCUCUGGAGGCCUCUCUCUACAAAGGCCUUUCAGGCUCCCUGGCUCCUUUCUGAACUUCCCGGCCGAAUGCCACAGCUAGCGCUCAGGAACAGCGGGAGAGGUAAGGUGGGAGCCAGCGCCCCCAGACAACUCUUCCCUGUGCCUUCUGCAGCCUCCCCCUCCGCAGCUGCCCCUUGUGCUUGUGCUGUCCACAGGCUGCUUCUGGCUGAAUGGCCCAAGAGGAAGUAGGAGCCACACCCGCCCCCAACCUUGCUGCCCACUUGCAGGCUUAGUUUGGAUAACAAGAUCUGAGUCUCUCUUAGAUCAUUUAACAGGUGUUGUCCCCAGAAAGACUGAGAACAAGCCUGGGUGAAGCGCGGCUCCUAAUAUCCAUGGCCUUGGCCACAAUUUCAAAAUUAGAUGGUGAACUUAUGUCGAUUUUAUGGUGACAUUGUGGGAGUAGAUAAUGAUUGGAAUGCGAGUGUUCCCACGUGUUCUUCCUGACAUUCUUCCUGUGGGUUCUUCGUUCGAAGAAGAUUCCAGCUCCAAGUAUUUAGAUCUCUCCUCCUUCACCCUCCAAGGAGGAAUUUGUCUUGCUAGUUCAGUUUUGGGGGCUUUUGUAAUGGAUAUUGAUUAUGGGGAAAUGGAGAAGGAAGGCAGAUAAAGGUAGCAAGAUUCCUGAGGGCGGGGUGGGCUUGGGGAGCUUUUCGCCAGGUGAUUAUUAGGAAGGUGGAAUUGCAGUAUCUGGGGUCAGUGGGUGUUAGGAGAGGAAAACUGUUCGUACUGUCUGAUUGCAAACUAUCUUGACCUUUCAUAUCAAAAUUUCAUAUACCGUAUCAAAUACGUUUCAUGUAACUAUCUUUCUUCAGAACUGAACCACAUGGAUCAUGACUUUAUAAAUAAUACAAGUGUAAUGAAGAAAGACUUGCCCAAGUAUCUCGGGAAAGCUGGGAAGAGAUUUGAACAACAUAGAAGGGUUGGGAUUGUAACUGCAGCUUUUAUAGAACAGAAACAGUCCUGAGAGCAUCUUCUCUUGGGCCUCAUAUGGCAUCUCUGCCUCUUGUGCCAGGCGCUUGGUGGCACCGCUUCACCUCCUAGGAUGAGGGAUGCUGGCAAAGCGCUAGCUGAGGUGGAUUGAGCAGAGCCCCUGGGUUCUGAUCUGCUCUGUCUUGUGACCUUGCACAAGUCGUCUAAGUCCACUGCAUCUCAGCUUCGUCAGCAUGACACCUCCCCUCUCGACUCUGACAGGAUUCUCAGGAGGACAGUUUUUCUUUGGGAAAUUUCUAGGCACUUCACAAAUGUAAUAAAACUGGUGUUUCUUCAAUGUCAAGAUGAUAUUUUCCAUUGUAUUAUUGUUAAAAAUCAGAGUGCUUUAUAAUUGAUAUAUUUAAUGCUCUGGUUGUUGUUUCCCCAAAUGUUAAGUCAAUAGCAUGCCUUACAAUCAAUGUCACAGCCUAAAAUAGACACAGCCUGUUUCUGUUUUCUGUUGCUCUGCACCACAACGUAGCAGUUUUCAACAAUGCCUGUUUAUCGUCUUGCAGCUUUUGUGGGCUUGCCGUCUGGGCUCUGCUAGAUAUCUCUGCUCAGAGACCUAAAAAGCUGAAGUCAAAAGUUGGCCUGGGCAGCAUCUCAUCUGAGGAUUGGAUGGAUCCUCUUCCAAGCUUGCCAGUUAUUGGCCCAAUUCAGUUCCUCGGAGUUUUCGGGUUCAGUGCUCAGAGACCACCACAGUCCCUGCCAUGGGGCCCUCUCCAGACAUGGAAAUUAGUUUCUUCAAACACUUCCUUCCCUUUAUAGGGUUUGCCCAACUAGGUCAGGCCCACUCAGGAUAAUUGCCUGGUUAACUCAAAGCUCAUCGGAAGCAUCUGCAAAAGCCUCUCCCCUUUGCCAUAUAACACAACCAAAUCACACUCUGUGGCUUGUGGGAGGCUCCUACAGCCAGUAUGCAGCAGAGGCAGGAAUCCUGAGGCAUCUCAGAAUUCUAAAUGGACUGUGACUCCCAAUUUCCUUUUGUGUCUUCCUGUUCCACCUUGAGAUUCCAGUGACUCUCCAGAAGCCCCUGGUAGAACACUUUUUAUUUUAAUUGUUUUAAGACUGGCCUUGUUUCCCCUGGGAAUUCUUCGUAGAGUGGCAAAAAAUCUUGCUUAGCAAACCUGCUAGGAUAGAUAGUUGGUCCUUAGGGUUAUCCACUAAGGACGAUGGUCAGAUUGCCUUUGGGGGGCUCAGAGAAUCAAUCCCCGACACCCUAAGGUGCUGGAUGUCAUCGAUGGCUUCUCUCUUGAUGAUCUGUACUAGGACUACUGUGUAACACACAUAGAAGAAUUGAGAAAAUAGGCCUUUCUACUCUCAGACUCAGCAAGUCAAGAUCAUGUGGUCGGAUCAGUUAGUAGUGUCUUCCAGGGAUGCUGGUGAGGAGAGUGACAGCCUGGGUGUCAUCAGUUUGCCACCAGGGUCCCUAGCCUUUAGGCUUUGGGACAGCACCAACCCAAACCAACCCCUCUUCUUGAUCAUCUUCCAAGGACAUGAUUCCAAGACUGCCACCGUUGUAUGUGCAGGACAUGCGGGGUGUGUGUGUGUGUGUGUGGGGGGUCUUUCUAACAGCUAGGAACUAUAGAAGUGUCUCCUGCUAAUGAGGCUAUGUUCUUCACCUAUGCUCCUACCUCUGAGCAGUGAUAAAAUACUCAAGCACAAAACACAUCCCUAGAGCCAUAGUCGGAGGUCUUUGGUGAUCUCUGAGUAAAUGGGACUAUCCCUUGAAAGCGCUGCUUUGUCUUUAAAGAGUCCCUGUGCAAAACAUCCUGAUGCCCUCAAUCAAAUCAAGUCAGCAGAGACCAUGCCUUCCUCUUCUUUGUAGACUCAACCUGUGGUCCUUUUCAACAGUGACAGUCAAGUUUAUGACACUGACCUCUCUUGGGAAUACCUGGGGUGUUGAUUUCUCUACCAGUUCCACUAGACUAUGAGUUUCUUGAGGGAAAGGAACAACAUCCUGUUCUCGUUUAGCUCUUGCUGCCGGCAUACAGCUCGACUCACAGUCGCCUCUUAAUAGAUUCUUUUGGAAUGAACAAAUUGACAAAUGAAUGGCUUUACGAAACUUCUUCCACGUACUCAGGACCAAAUCACCUGUUUUGCUGGUUGGUUGGUUUGCUUUUCAAUAAAGCCUAAAGCCACUACCUCUCUCCUUCCUUCAUCUUUAUAAUAAGACAGGCUGGUUUGAUGGCAUUGAACCUUGAGGAGGUCAGUGAAUGACAGCAGGCUCUGAGAGGAACCAGGUAAAGCCAGCGACUGUUCUUGUCAGCUCGUAACAAGCGGGACAUAAAUACACGUUAGGGAAGAGGAAAUUCAAAACAGACACAGGGAAACAGGUUGAAGGCUUUACAAAACAAUAAUGUUCAGAAACCACUUAGUCAGUGGCAAUGAGACCAUGACCCUGGGCAAAUCACGUUCUGUUGCUGUCAUUGUCUGAAUGACACACAAUUUCAUAAGCCGGGGAGCCCUGCCCCCUCCUGCCUGUUUCAUUAGAACAUAAAUUAUUUCCCCAGGGGUGAGUUUGGGGUGAGGGUGCGCCCUUUCCUGCCUUGUCAGCCCGGACUCUUGCGAGGGCAGCUUGCUCUUUUCGUGACUCUGCCACAAUCUCACCCUUUUUCUUUUUCUAAAUUUUUAUUUUGAAGACAUUCAUGGAACAUAAAGCCCCUGAUAGUAGUUUUUCUUCACUAAACCUGCGGUGAUAAACCUGCCGUGAACAAGUUACAUUUAUCUUUUUUUUUUAUUAACUUUUUUAACAUAGUUGCUUUCAUCUUAAAACAUGAUUAUUUUGACUUCAGGAAAAUGGCUUCCUUUUCAAUGGCCACUGGGAACCACAGGACUCAAAGUCCUUCAACUAUCCUGUGAACUAGAGGGCUGCUACCCUAGGUAGCAAGAUGGGGGUCUGCAUGUCGUGUUUCCAGAAGCUUCCAGCGUGUGGAGGCCAAUACUUUGCAAGGGAAACCGUGAGCUUGAUGGUGGUCUCUGGUUCAACUCCAUACCAGAGAGGGCAGGUGUGGGGUGGGAAACUGAGAGCGGAAAGUAAGAGCUCACCUGUCCUGGACUGGCUUGAGAAAAUGCAGGAAGGAGUCAAGCAACUCACACUGGCUCCACGUGCUCCCUCGAGCCUUAUGUGGCUCACCUGCACCUGGUGGGGACGCGGCCUCUGUGCUGAGCUCCAGCUCCGACAAACCCACUGCCGCUCUCCUGAGGAGCUCCCAGAGAGGAUCCCCAGUUCAGUCUUUCUUAGCGGGCUGGCAGUGGACAUAUCAUGGCUAGUUCGUGAAGCCCGGUCCUUUCUAACAUGUGUCACCCUCCCUGAUAGGAGAAAGGCUUGUGUGUUUCAGAUAUGUUACACACCUAGCUUGUCAGACAAAUGUUUGGGCACCAAGUCCCUGAUUUAUUUGUCCCUGUAGUCAUGUUCAGGGAUCAAUAAGGUAUUAGAGAAAGGCUUGGGAGUGUUUCCUCAGCUGGCUUCCGGUGCUAAAGAAAGUUUUUCUUUGGAGUCCUGGUUAAAACUCAAAUGCCAUCCGAGGACAGGUAGGGAAUAAAUGAAAGAAGAGAUCGCAACCAGUGACAAAGUCCCUUCCCUAACUAAAGACAUUCAAAUUCAUUUGACUUUUUAAAAAAAAUCACUGGCCAGCCAAACCAAAUACCACUGUGGGCUACCUUUGGUUGCCAAGCCAAGCUUAAGAGGUCCUCUGGACAGGUCAUAUGCAUCCUGUUCCCUGUGUAGCCUUGGGUGGUGGGUAAGGAGGCCCAGACAAGCCCUGACUCCCCCAUUAGCCCAGCUUUACCCACUUGGCAACUUUGGACAACUAUCUUGUCCUCUCUGAGCCUCAGAGUCUUCAUUUGUAAAAUGGAGAUAAUACCCACAUCGUGAACGCAGGUCGUGAGGGUUAGGUGACAGUCUGUGGGACAGCAUUUGCCUCUGUGCCUGUCACACAUUUUUAAAUGCUGGUGAACUGGAGGCCACAGGCUACAUCAAGUCCCCAAUAAGAGGUGUCCCUUGCAACCAACCAGGUCACAUCUGAACCCUUGGAGCCUCUCUUUCCACAACUCUCUGGCUCCUCACCUCCUAGCCCAUUCCUGGGCUUCUCGUGUCCCCACCCCCAGAGCAGGCUCCCCUUCCCAGGGCCCACACUUGCUAUUGGGACUCAAUUGCAGAUUCAGCCUCUCUGGCUUGAGUCUGGGGCAUCCUUCUUGAAAGGUGUCCCUCUGUCCUCAGAUCUCUCUGGAAACCCCGGAUCCAUCCUUUCCAGAGCUAUCUGGAACUCAUUUGUACUUUUUAAAUCCCAGGUUCCCAGGGCCCAGGAUGCAGCAUCCAUGGGUAGAUGAGUGGAUUGUAAAUUUGAGGCCUGACGGAAGAUUUGGUACAGAAGGGCUCUGCUCACAGGGCCCUUGUUGGGGGUCCAUCGGGGACCAGAUUCUCUAUGGCUACAGAAUCCUACAUGCUCUUUUCAACACCUCGAAUUUCCCCUGAGUCCUACACAGCUGGCCCGUCCCAGGGUGCCUCCCCUUCUCAGAGAAGCCUUCCUUGACUGAUAGCUAUGAGUGAGAACAACCCUCCUCCACUGUAUGCUCACGAAUUGUUUCUUUUGUUGCUCUAUUAUAACUUGUACUUAUAUUCUCUAUGGUUUGUUCACUGGUUUUCUUCCUAUUAGUGUGUGUGUGUGUGUGUGUGUGUGUGUGUACGUGUGUAUAAUGAAACUCCAAAGACAAAAUAGAAGUUCACUUCUUUCCAUGUGAAACGUGGAGUUGGUUGGGCAGCUCUGCUCCAGUCACCUGACCUGCCAUCCCCUGUUGAGUUGCCUCAUCUGCGUGGUCCAAGGCAGCUCGCUGUGAUGUUCCCAUUCUUUCCAGUGGAAGGAUGUACGGUGAGGUCACACACUUUCCCUUUCAGGGCUGGAGGAAAAAGUGAUUCAUGUCCCUUUCUAUUAGAUUCCAUUGGUCUGAACCUAGUCACGUGACCACAUGCAGCUACAAGGUUGGCCCAAACCCAGAGGUUCUAUUGUUAUUGUUAAGCAGAAGAAGUGGAGCUUGAGUGGCAAUCUGUGAACUCUUUGACAGCCAGGAGCACGACUAUCAGGACCAAGUUUCUUCUGUUGAAACCUUAUACUCAGGCACCAAGGUUGGGGUGGCUGGGGAUGCUGGUGGGUGGAGAUGUAAGAGUGGACAGACUCAGGGUACAAGUGUGAGGUAGAUGAGCAGGGCUGGCCUACAGAAUCAAACAGGUACCCCUGAUGGAACAGCCAAGGUGCCUCUCCCAGACAAGUGGGAACUUCCUUUUGCAUUAUUAUUUAGCUUUUCAAGCAUUUAUUCCUUAACUACCCAACUAAAUUCUAAGCCAUUCAAGCUGAAAAUCAAGGUAGGAUAUAAUUAUGGGUUCAAAUCUUGUUUCUACCAUUUAACAAGCUGUAAGAACUUAAGCCUCAGUUUUCUUAUCUGUCCAUUGGGGAUUAAAAUACCACCAUCUGGAAUGAAAUGGGCUAAUACAUACAAAGGCUGGGCAGAGUGCCUAACGUAUAUUUGAAAAGUCAAAUUUUUACACUUCUGCUGCUGUGUCCCCCCUCACGCAUCCUCAGAACCUUACACAGGGAUCAUCACUCACUCUUUGGUGGGGGAGGGUGUGUAAAUUGGGCACUGUGCUCCGAAAAGAACCAUGCUCAAGCUGGUGUCUUCCAGUGUCUGCCCUAGCUCAGGUUCUUAAUGGCACCUUCUCCACAUGUUCUUCUUUCCCCAGAAGCAGCCUCCUCUUCCUCCGGGACUGGACAAAGCUGAUGAUCAUGGCUCACCUUCAGAGGCCCGGCACUGUGCAAAUGUUACCUUUUCUCUGAAGCCUUCCUGACCUCUGCUUCCCACCUGCUCCUUCCCAGGAAAGCCUGGGAGAAUGAGUGGCUUCUUCCUGUGCCCUCCUGCUGCUCCCUGCUCUGCUUCCUAUUGGGAGCGUGUAUCCGUCUGGCUGAUUCCAUUCGGUGAUAAUACCCAAGCAUAAGCCUGCGAAGCUUCUCCUUCUACCCUUUACGGUACUCAGGGACUUAGGCCAUUAAAGAGGUUGUUUAUACGCAAUUCAUCGAAACGUGACUGACCGAGGCCUGUGGACACACAGCACCAUUUCUGCUGGUUAUCAGAGCACAGCACAGGGGCAGGUGGCUCUGAAUGUCGCCUCUCCAUAUCUCUUCCCUGCCUGGUUCCUCCAGGUCAGGACCCCUCCUCUUGGGCCCCACCAGUCCUGUUGGCACUUCCCCUUUAGGGUGGCCCUAAAGACUCUUUUCUGGUCUCAGAGCAGGAGCUUUACUCGGUCUCAUCUUGUCAUUUCCAAGCCUCGAGUCUCCCCAGAGAGAGACUUUAACAACACCACUCAAACCCCUCUCCUCCAUUCUUCUGCCUCAUCUCUUCACUGAGGCCUGAAGGCAACAUGGCCUGGUACUGAAAAGAAAGGGUGGUAAGGCAGCCAGAGGCAGGAGGGUGCUUGGGGGAAACAUUGGCAAAGGUUUCAAAGACCCGCCGCAUCCCACUGCAUGCAAUUGCUAUGCUGGUCUUUCUCCCUGGGCUGAGAGCUUCUUGCAGGUCGAACCUGCAGACUAUUUGUUUUCACCUUCAAGACCAUUGGAUCAUGUUUUUGGACAAUGUUUAUUCAAUGAGUGGCCAUACGUGUAUAUGAACAUUCUUUGUUGGGAAAUGGUUAUAACUUACAUGCAUAAGCACUUAGAUUUAUCUCCAUGAUGCUAUUUAAUCCUCAAGACAAUCCUGGUAAGGAAGGACAGACAUUUUUAUUUCUUACGUUAUAGACAAGAGACCAGAGGACCAAGAGUCCUGCCUGGAGUUCUCUUACUGGCUAAAAGCAGGGCUGAGACUGAGACUAAGAUCUGCUUCCUUCAAAGCCCAUGUUCUUUCCAUUACGAAGGAGAGGAGAAAAUGGAGAUGAGAAGGGCAUGUGCCAUUCUCAGAACCUCCGAGGCUGCACCCAGCCAUCCUUAACCUCAGGGUCAUAUGGAAGCCUGGGGUGAGAUGAAAAUCUGAAAAGGGAUGCUAAUGCCUCACGUGGUCCCAGUGGCUAAUAGGAGACUUCACCUCUUAAGCAAAGAAUUCUCCAACAUUUUGUUCCCCUUCCAUUAUUGAGGACCUAAAAGAGCUUUUGUUUAUAUGGGUUCUAUCUAUCGAUUUUUGUGACAGUAGAAAUUAAAACAAACAAAAAAAAUCUUUGUUAAACAUCUAAUGUAUAGACUGGCAUUGCUUUAUACCUUUACCUCUUUAACCCCUGGCUUAGUGGAUGACAGCUAGAAUCUUCAAUCUUUUCUGAUGCAUUUCAUCUAUUCCAACUUGUUCCUUUAUAUGAAAUAUAUGCAGAACAUCCAUCCUCAUGCAGCUAGUAGUGGAGAAAGGGAGGUGUACCUUUAUUAAUAGCCUCUGGAGAUAAUUAUGGAUAUUCUUUUUAGAUACAAAACACAGUAAGGGAAAGCUUCCUAAAGAUUAGUUGCAAUGUGAAAUCUGAAACCGUAUCAAUACAGUGUCCUAUUUGCUCACAUUAAAAAGCCCACUGAAUUGUCUCACACUUUGAAUGUGUCUUUAGCCCAUGCUGGUUUGAACCAUUAAGCAUUGGUCCUUUGAAAAUUAUUGGUUAACUGAGUUAUUCAACGUCUCCAAGUAUAAGCACAUUUAUUCACCCAACAAAAAAAAAAAAAUCACUUAUUAUACUACCAUAACUGCUGUCAUCAGAAGCAUCUUUAAAUACUAAAAAGCUCCAAGCACAUAAUGGCAAAUGAAAUUUUUUUCCUCAAAAUUCUGAUUUUCAUUCAGAAGCUCAAAUAUUGUCACUGGUGACAAGCACUAUCAGUUGCUUCCCUUGUUACGACAGGCUCGCUUUAUUCCUUUGUGAAGAAAAUGUCUUCCAAACACCCGACAGGCCUGAAUAACUAUGGUUUGUCAGUCUCUCGAGCGAAACUUGUAUUGCAGGGGGGAGGGGUGCAGAUAGUUUAGCUUGCAACUCAAAUGAUUGCAGAAACACUUUUUUCAAGAUAGCUGUUCUUAUUUCCGUAGGCAGCAGGAGUGUUUUUGGUGUACUUCCCAUUUGUUCUCACAGUAGUGUGAAACUGGCUAUUUUUCCCCCCGUGAGUGCCUGAAAGGUGAAGAAAGCAAUGGUCACCAAUGUAGCUUGGUACCACUGCCUUAAUUCAUGCUAAAGCAAUUUUAUUCUUCUGUACUUUUGUGCCAUCUGUUAAAAUUCCAAUACCACCAAAAGGCAAAUAAUGCUUUAGGAUUAUUAGAGAAAUAGCUUUGACCUUGCAGAUCCCCUGAUAAGGUCUCAGGGACUCCCAGGGAUCUAUGGUCCAUACGUUCAGAACCACCAACCACAAGCAGUAAUUGGUGUGAAUUCUGAGGUAGAUGGUAGAGAAGAACAAUCAUCAAUCUCAUUGUCAGAGAUUUGUGUUAGUUCUAGCCCUUCUCUGGUCCUCAGUUGUACCUUCUGUAAAAGGGGACAAUAUCCUCCUUACUCCAUCAUCAUGAGAGGGAAGCUAUGUGAUGUACCUGCCGUUGCUUAAGUCAAUAUCCUUCUCUAGUUUCCAAGGCAACUAUAGAAGGAGGGCCCACCUUCCCUAGGGGGAGGCAAAGGACUAUGUACACCUAAAGCCCAUAAAAGGAAAAAUGGAUGAAUCAGACCUUCAUCCAAAUUAAACAUUGGCUCAAUGAAAGAGCCUAUUAGCCUGGAAAGGCAAGCUGCAGACCAGGAGAAGAUAUUUGCAAGUCACAUAUCUGACAACGUGUGUCUAGAAUAAUAGAAAGAAUUCUCACAAGUGAACAAUGAAAAAGCUGUUAGAGAAUAAAAACUAGAAAAUGAGCAGAGAUGUGAACAAACAUGUUGCCACAGAGGAAAUACAGAUGGUAAAUAUGCACAGGAAAAGAUGUUCAACCUCAUGGCCAUGAUGCCUUUAGGAAAACGCAAAUUAGAACCACAGAGAGAUAAUCCCGGUUUCAUACUGCACUGCAGUUUGGCAAGAUAGUACCAUCAGAAGGAAAUGGCGAAAGGCACCCAGGAUGUCUCUGUAUACACAACUACAUGUGACUCUAUAUAUUGAAAUCAAAAGUACUUUUUUAAUAAAUAAACAAGCAAUAUCAUCACGGCCCUGCCUCAAACUUCUAAGACUUUCCUAUUAUUCUUAGAAUGAAUCCAAACUACGGACCAUGUCUUAUAAGUUCUACAGGAUCUGGCCCCUGCCUCUGACUUCA